GUGCUCACUUUGGCAGCACAUAUACUAAAGUUGGAAUGAUACAGAGAAGAUUACGACGGCCCCUGCACAAGGGUGACACACAAAUUCAUUAAAUGUUCCAUAUUUUU
ensembl:snRNA U6 U6 spliceosomal RNA